GACGAACGCUGGCGGCGUGCUUAACACAUGCAAGUCGAACGGAAAGGCCCUGCUUUUCUGUGGUGCUCGAGUGGCGAACGGGUGAGUAACACGUGAGUAACCUGCCCUUGACUUUGGGAUAACUGCAGGAAACUGGGGCUAAUACCGGAUAGGAGCUCCUGCUGCAUGGUGAGGGUUGGAAAGGUUCGGCGGUUGGGGAUGGACUCGCGGCUUAUCAGCUUGUUGGUGGGGUAGUGGCUUACCAAGGCUUUGACGGGUAGCCGGCCUGAGAGGGUGACCGGCCACAUUGGGACUGAGAUACGGCCCAGACUCCUACGGGAGGCAGCAGUGGGGAAUAUUGCACAAUGGGCGGAAGCCUGAUGCAGCAACGCCGCGUGCGGGAUGACGGCCUUCGGGUUGUAAACCGCUUUCGCCUGUGACGAAGCGUGAGUGACGGUAAUGGGUAAAGAAGCACCGGCUAACUACGUG
rnacentral:rRNA from 1 species